CGUGCCCGCGCCCAUCCCUCCCGCUUGUCCUUGCUCCCCGCCUCCCCCUCCUGGCCAGGUUCCGUUCCGGAAGCGGUCCCGGAUGAGGUCCCCAGCUGCUUCACAGCCGGGACAGCUCUUCCUCCCGCGCCCUGGCUCCUCCUUGCUCGCCGCCCUAAGCGCCUUUGUCUGGUUGGCCUCUGGAUCCGGAGAGGACCAUUUCCGCGCUUCAUCCUUUUCUCAGCUUUGCACUUUAUUUCCUAGAGUGGCAUGGAGGCCAGGGAAGUGGAGGGGGCUGGGUUGCGUGGUCAGCGGGUGCGGCCAGGAGGAGAUGGGGGUUCACCUCUUGACCAUGCGCUGGCAGUCACCUGGGCACGCAGGUUCCCGAGGACCGCCGCCUGGGAAGGCCCGCGGCUGCCAGAAGCCCAGAGCCACGCCUCCGACUCCGGUAGCCUAGGCUGCCCUGAACUGUUCCGAGGGUCAAGGACCUGGCCCGGGAUCCAGCCCCAGAUAACUUCGCUUUCGCCUGGACCUCACAGCACACGCCACGCGCAGAUUGAGUCACUUUUGGGGCUCAGUGUUGCGUGUGAGAAGAUGCGAGUCGGGGUCUUUGGAUUUAUUCCCUAAAAUCCAUUAACUUAUUUCUUGCACCUCAAACUGAACCUUCUGUUAUCCAUCCAUCCAUUCAGGGAUUCCUCGCAGGAAUCCCCGCCCUGCGUAGACGCUUGUAAUCUUGAGUGGGCAAUGAAUUUUGGCCCUGCAUACCCUAUCUAUGUAUUUCUUACUCCUUUUUGAUUGACGUUGUGAACCGUCUCAAAAGCCUGGUCUAAAAUUUCUGGCUUCAUCCCUGCUGAGGUGCUGUUCCAGUGAAGUUGUCCCAGGGACUUCCUGAGUCUGCUCAGGUGCGCCCUCUGCCUGUUGAGAGCUUGUAGGUCAGGGGCCAGGCUUGCUUCUUUUCUUACCCUUAGACUUCCAGCCCUUUUGCCAGGGUACAAUUUACUGCCUCCUGCUUCCUGACCUUUCACGAGUGUCCUUCGACUUUGAUCCAUCUGCCACUGCGUUUGUUUUUGUGAGUUUGCACGUUAGGUAGCCCAUCUGCUCGUGUUCUAUUGCGAUCAUUAUUAGGGAGUAAGGUGUUCUUGGUUAAACAUACAAUUCAGUCUUGACAUUUUAGAUCAUUGGGAAUGAAAUCCAGCGACCUGUUUUGAACUUUUCUAUAUAAAAUCUUAUCAGCUUCCACCAGGUACAGCGGGAAGCUCCAAGUUAUGUGUAGUGCUUUUUGGGUGCUGAAUGCUAGGACUUCACCGCAGUUAGAAAAUUAGAGAACCUCAGGCUUUCUUCUCCAAAGUGCUAAGAAACAGAGUGCUUUCUUAUUCUCCUAGAAAAUCUUCAGUACUCGUCUCGCAACAUGAACGUUUAAAGCUAAAACCUUCACAGAGAAGCGAAAUGGAGCAGGAGCAGUGGCUAAUUGCUGAACUCUUCAAAACUUGGUGUAUAUAAGUGGCUAAGGCAUUUUAUUAGUUCAGCAGAUAUUCUUAUCCAACACCUGUCGUGUUCUGAGAUUGUUGGGCAAGCUGUUAACUCUCAGACAAGCGUUGUCCCCAAGAACCUUACUUUAUAGCUGAAGGUUGACAUCUAUCCAAUAUGUGUCAUAAAAAGUUCUCACGAGGGAUUUUAUUGAGAACUUUGUGUAAUGACUACAAUAUUUAAGGAUUUUUCAAAUGCUUUAUAUAACUACAUAAGAAAGUUGUGUUACCUGAACGACUAAAAGAGGAGUGUAUUCAAGAGAAAGCAAGAAUGUAGUAGAGGAAACAGCUUUAAAUGUUAAAUUUUCUGGCAUAGGGUGCAAUGGGGUUGACGAUUUAAUCUAAAUAUGUUUUGAAGGAACACUGGGUCCAUCCGAAUCUGUGUUGUUUAUGUUUGGGACAGAGCAUCACACUGUAGGACAGGCUGCUGUGGGAUUUACUCGGUAGGCCAGGCAGGCCUGAAACUGCAUGCCCUGCUCUUGCUUCAGCAGAGUACAAGGCAUCAUCAAAUUCCCCAAAAUCAGAGUCUUUAACUUUGAUUCAGGGAUCUCAAGAAUCUGAAUGAAGGGCUGCUGGUGUACCACCAUCAUCCCCAACACUCCUGUUCAGAAGAUGGGUGAGGAAAGUGGAAAGUCUAAUCAGUCAGCCGAUGACCAGUGGGAAAAAUGAGCUACAAGAUCACCUGAUCUUCAUCAGUGAGAAAGCUUUGCACAAGAGGUAUUUUUCAUUCUGUCAAACAUCAUGGUCAAUUUCUUGGGUCUAUGGUAUGGCCUACAAUUUAUUCUUAUUAAAUUUUAUGGUACUGGGAGACUGUAACUCCAGGGUGUCACUGUGCCCAACCUUUUCUCCCUAAACAUUCUCACAGGCUGAACUUGAAGUCAGAGCAGGAGUGAGCUGCGGAUAUAGGCUAUUCAAUUUCUUUUAUAUGAAACUGAAAUCCUACCACUCAGGGAUUGAAGAGGAUGUGAUGUCUCAGCAUGUGUUAAUAGAGGCACUGACAUGUGACGGUUUGAGUGAGAUAUUAGUUGCUGUGAGGUUUUGUUUGAUUGUUUGCUUGCUUGAGUUCUUUGUUUGUUUGUUUGCAAAGCUUUGUAAUUGUCUGGCAGGUGUUGCUUGCUGAAGCUUGCUAUAUCACCAGGAAAGCUUGGUCCCAUUUGGUCCAUCCUGAUACAUGAUGGAAGGUCUUGGGCUCAUUAAUACUCUUCUCAGAUUUUGGGCCUUAUAAACAGAAUGUCCUCUGCAUUUCCUCUGGAUUCUAUUUCAAUUGUACUUUCUCAUUCUCCCUGCAAACACACCCUGAUUCUGUGUGCAUGCAUGUGUGUGUGUGUAUGUGCGACUCUCUCUAUAUUCUGGUCAUAAGGGUAUGUGCUAGGACCUGAGGAAUUGCCUGCCUUACACUCUGCUGACAAUGCCAAUGCUUAGGACUGGAAACCAUACUUCAAGCAACAAUGCACUUGCAUUAUGUGUUCAACUUGAUGAAAUAUUUGAGUUCUGUGGUGAAUUCACUAUGACCUCCUUAUGCUGGUUCAUUCUCCCAGAAAUGUAGAUUAUUUAGCUUGGCCAAAUUCAUAGGACUAGGCCAAGGAUCAAGAGUCCCUGGUUUGAAAAAAAAAAAAAAAGGAGAAAUGUCCUCACAGUUUCUGGUAUACCCACACCCGUGCCAUAAACUACUGAGAGUUUAGAGACCUAGUCUGUCCUUCCAGGCCUAUGCGGGAGCUCAAAGAACCAGAACUCUAACCACCUCGAUACCCAGCCUGUGGAGACAUAUGGACAAAAGAGCAAGAUUAAUAAGCUUAGAUGAUCCUAGUACAUAGAGGUAGAAGGUAACAUACUGUGAGCUUGGAUAGUUCAGAAUCCAUCCUGGAUUCAGGUGACCCUUGAAGCCUGUGUUCUUGGGGCUCUUUGCUUUUGGGGCCAGGCCCAACCACAGAUCAAAUCCUUACUAUGAAAAAUUGAAAGUGGAGACUAAGCAGGUAAUGUUGGACCUGCAGAGCUUACAGAAUGUGUACACUGAGGCCUCAGAGACAUUUGAAGGCCUGGCAAAGAGAAAGGCUGCUAUAGGUAACUGUCUGUCUUGCUUGGGAGCACAUGAGCUGUAGAAUUGCCAUCUCUGCAUUUGAUCCUGCACAGGAGACUCUCCAGCUCUGGUUCUAGCUUUCCGCCACUUCACACAGGAGCCUUUAGAUUUGCUGUUGUAAACCUGUGGGUUGAAACACUUGGUGGGGUGAGUGUCAAAGGACCCUUUCACAGAGGUUGUGUAUCAGACAAUCCUUUAUCUCAGAUACUUCUAUUAUGGCUUAUAACAGUACAAAAAUUAUAGUAACCAAGUAGCAAUGAAAAUAAUCUUAUGUUUGUGAAGUAACUGCAUUAAAUCAUCCACAGCAUUUGGUAGAUAGAGAAACUCUGCUCUAGACAGAACUAUUUGAAUCAUGUGAGGUCUUCUUGACCCCUGGGGCUGAGUCAGGGUCUGUAGAGAGCUAGUUACCAGCAGACCCAUGUAUAGCAAGUAUUCCCCUUGUUUCUUUUUUUCCAAUUCAUAGUGCCUUUGCCCAUUCCUUCGUGAUGUUUCUCCAUUAGGAUGAACAGAUAGGAACAACUGUAGUCCACUUCUUGUUUUUAGGAAACAUGGAUCCCUCUUGGUGUUGCGACUUUUGGAAGUAGCAUGAGUGUUUCUGGAAUUUGUGUUCUGUAGUUUUUUUCUUCUGAGAGCAGCUCACCUGGAUGUCCUGGGUUCUUAUCUAGGUCUUCCUGAGAAACAGGGUCUGGUGGGGUUGAUGGUGUUUCUUUAUAAGUUAAUAGGAAAAGGAGAGCAGGGGAUUUCUAUGCAAACGGUGUUUGCAGAAACCUGCACAGCCACCUUCUGAUGGAACUGAAUCAGCUGAAGAAGGUAGACAUGCUGAGGAGGCACAGGAAUAAGAAAGUGCUGGAAGAUGAGGCACUGGUGCAGCAGUACUUAUGGGACUUAAAGGGGCCCCAUAAGGACCAACAGGAAGAGACCAUUGACUUCCAGAGUCAGGAACAGCAGGUAGAGACAGGCAGCUUUGUCAGGCUAAUGGUUAGCUCCAUCUGCCCUUCUAACUUCUAGACCAGCUCAUCCACCUACCUGUGCUUUCAUCCAUCAUCUUACUCAUCCACACUCCAAUCCAAGUACCUACCUCAUGACAGCCAUUGUUCAGGUCUAUGUCCAAGCACAAAUAUUUCUGGGGAAUGAGCUUCUUGCGAGAAAGUGGAUUAUCAGCAAGCAAAUCCACCUCUGCUUAAUGCUGCAGCCCAAAGAUGAGUACAGUUCAAUAAUACACCACACACCUACAGGGUUCAGUGCACAGAGCUUUAAGUGAGUCAAGUCAGGGCUUGUGGCUUAUUUGCUUGGCAUCAGUCCUAUAAGUUCACAUGUGAGAAGCAGCUGCAAGGGUGGGGGCAAUCCCUUUGCAAAUGCCAAAUGAGCAGUUCUUGACAUCAUCCUUUUUGGGGUGAUAUGUGGCAUUUCUCAUCUUUGCUGUCUACAUUUCAAGACAAUCUUUUUAAUCUGUCCAGGACAGACUCACACUGACAGAACUCUGACUAGCAGAGUGUUAGCAAUGUUUUUUGUGAAUGAGGCUGGAGUACUCUCCUUUUCUGUAGAUUACAUUCUCCUGUUGACUGGAUGACUAUAGAUGUGGGUAGGGACUCUGACAAGCUAGGGACAUGGUGUCAGAGAUUUAAGAUUGCAAGAGGAAAUUUUAUGCAACCACUUCAGCAUAGUCUGGCCAAGCAAAACAUGCUCACCAUAGCAAUUGUAUCUUCCACCUUUUGUUUUGCAUAGUUUAAGAUACCGCUCAAAUUGCUGGUAUUCUAUAAAUAAACGAAUGUGUUCUUGCAGCACGAGGUGCUUUCUUUUUUGGUAUUUUGCUCUCAUUUACAUCCUCUGUGUGUGGUGGAUAGGCUGCGGAUAUGUGUGUUUUUGUGUGUGU